rnacentral:rRNA from 1 species
UCCGUAGGUGAACCUGCGGAAGGAUCAUUACCGAGUUAGGGUCUCCUUGGCCCGACCUCCCAACCCUGUGUUCAAUCUACCAUGUUGCUUUGGCGGGUCCGCUUUUAGGAGCCGCCGGGGGUUUUCUAGCCUCUGGCCCGUGCCUGCCAGGAGCCUUCAUUAAAUUCUUGAUAACUGUGUCGUCUGAGUACAAAUUUAAAUCGUUAAAACUUUCAACAACGGAUCUCUUGGUUCUGGCAUCGAUGAAGAACGCAGCGAAAUGCGAUAAGUAAUGCGAAUUGCAGAAUUCAGUGAGUCAUCGAAUCUUUGAACGCAUAUUGCGCCCUUUGGUAUUCCGAAGGGCAUGCCUGUUCGAGCGUCAUUAUCAACCAUCAAGCCUGGCUUGUCGUUGGACUCUUUGUCAGUUGACGACAGUAGUUCUAAAGAUAAUGAGCGGUGUCGUGAUGGUGCCAAAUGCAAUGAGCUUUUCAUAGCACGCAUCUGGUGGUCUCAUAGCCCGGUCUUAACCAUCAUUUUCAAGGUUGACCUCGGAUCAGGUAGGAAUACCCGCUGAACUUAAGCAUAUCAAUAAGCGGAGGA